rnacentral:tRNA from 1 species
GCCCCGGUCGUCUAGCCAGGUCAAAGGGUGCGCCCGGCUAGGGAUAUGGGCCUUUCGAGCCCAGGACCCGGGUUCAAAUCCCGGCCGGGGCA